rnacentral:rRNA from 1 species
GGAUCCAGACUUUGAUUAUGGUCAGGAUGAACGCUAGCUACAGGCUUAACACAUGCAAGUCGAGGGGAAACGACAUCGAAAGCUUGCUUUUGAUGGGCGUCGACCGGCGCACGGGUGAGUAACGCGUAUCCAACCUGCCCACCACUUGGGGAUAACCUUGCGAAAGUAAGACUAAUACCCAAUGAUAUCUCUAGAAGACAUCUGAAAGAGAUUAAAGAUUUAUCGGUGAUGGAUGGGGAUGCGUCUGAUUAGCUUGUUGGCGGGGUAACGGCCCACCAAGGCAACGAUCAGUAGGGGUUCUGAGAGGAAGGUCCCCCACAUUGGAACUGAGACACGGUCCAAACUCCUACGGGAGGCAGCAGUGAGGAAUAUUGGUCAAUGGACGAGAGUCUGAACCAGCCAAGUAGCGUGCAGGAUGACGGCCCUAUAGGUUGUAAACUGCUUUUAUAAGGGAAUAAAGUGAGUCUCGUGAGACUUUUUGCAUGUACCUUAUGAAUAAGGACCGGCUAAUUCCGUGCCAGCAGCCGCGGUAAUACGGAAGGUCCGGGCGUUAUCCGGAUUUAUUGGGUUUAAAGGGAGCGUAGGCCGGAGAUUAAGCGUGUUGUGAAAUGUAGACGCUCAACGUCUGCACUGCAGCGCGAACUGGUUUCCUUGAGUACGCACAAAGUGGGCGGAAUUCGUGGUGUAGCGGUGAAAUGCUUAGAUAUCACGAAGAACUCCGAUUGCGAAGGCAGCUCACUGGAGCGCAACUGACGCUGAAGCUCGAAAGUGCGGGUAUCGAACAGGGUUAGAUACCCUGGUAGUCCGCACGGUAAACGAUGGAUGCCCGCUGUUGGUCUGAAUAGGUCAGCGGCCAAGCGAAAGCAUUAAGCAUCCCACCUGGGGAGUACGCCGGCAACGGUGCAACUCAAAUGAAUUGACGG